rnacentral:tRNA from 1 species
GCUUUCGUGGUGUAGUGGUCAGCAAGAUCGACUCGCAUUCGAGGGGUCCGUGGUUCAAGUCCCUGCGAGGGUA